rnacentral:rRNA from 1 species
AGAACGAACGCUGGCGGCGUGCCUAACACACGCAAGUCGAACGGGCAUAUAGAUGUAGCAAUACAUAGAUAUGUUAGUGGCGCACGGGUGAGUAACACGUAGGCAAUCUACCCUAGAGUGGGGGACAACCCAGGGAAACUUGGGCUAAUACCGCAUAAGACCACGGACUGGGAUGUUAGUGGUAAAAGUAGCGAUACGCUUUAGGAUGAGUCUGCGGCCUAUCAGGUAGUUGGUGGGGUAACGGCCCACCAAGCCAAUGACGGGUAGCCGGUCUAAGAGGACGAACGGCCACACUGGAACUGAGACACGGUCCAGACUCCUACGGGAGGCAGCAGUGGGGAAUCUUGCACAAUGGGCGAAAGCCUGAUGCAGCGACGCCGCGUGGGGGAUGAAGGCCUUCGGGUUGUAAACUCCUUUUGCAGGGGAAGAUAAUGACGGUACCCUGCGAAUAAGCCACGGCUAACUCUGUGCCAGCAGCCGCGGUAAGACAGAGGUGGCGAGCGUUGUUCGGAAUUACUGGGCUUAAAGGGCGCGUAGGCGGUGAUGUAAGUCUGGGGUGGAAUUCUGCAGCUUAACUGCGGGAUUGCCCUGGAAACUGUAUUGCUUGAGUCGGACAGGGGAAGGCGGAAUUCCUGGUGUAGCGGUGAA